UACCUGGUUGAUCCUGCCAGUAGUCAUAUGCUUGUCUCGAAGAUUAAGCCAUGCAUGUACAAGUUCAUGCCCCUAGAUAAUUGGGCGAAACCGCGAAUGGCUCAUUAAAUCAGUCAUAAUCUAUUUGAUGUUAAAAGUUAUAUGGAUAACUGUGGUAAUUCUAGAGCUAAUACAUGCACUAAAUAGGCAACUGCAGGGCAACUUGCAGAAGCCUGGCGUUUAUUAGACUAAGACCAAUGAUUGGGCGCAAGCUCAAUCUUAAUAUGGUGACUCUGAAUAAAUAAUGGGUGAAAGCCCAUGAUGCUGACCCUCUUUUAACGCUCUUCGGAGUUUGAGGGCAAAUCAUUCGAGUGUCUGCUCUAUCAACUGUGGAUGGUAGGAUAUAUGCCUACCAUGGUGGUAACGGGUAACGGGGAGUUAGGGCUCGACUCCGGAGAACAAGCCUGAGAAACGGCUAGUAGGACUAAGGUCUGCAGCAGGCGCGAAACUUACACAAUGGGAGCACAUCCCUGAUGUAGUGAAGGAAAAUAACGAUGUAUCUUGCAUUACUGCAUGAUACAAUUGGAAUGAGACGACUGUAAAUACGUUAGUCGAGUAACAAAUGGAGGGCAAGUCUGGUGCCAGCAGCCGCGGUAAUUCCAGCUCCAUUAGCAUAUAUUAAAGUUGUUGCGGUUAAAACGCUCGUAGUUGAAAUUAACUUGGUUUUUCAUCACUCGCUUCCAUUCAAAGGCAGCGUUAACUUCGGUUUUCGCUUGCCUGGUUGCCGUAGUGCAUAUAAAGCCAAUGUUUCGCCACUUUAAACGAGUGCGAAGCGGGGUGUUAUAACAUUUAUGUUGGCUUUCAGUCAAUAGCUAUAGCACCAAGUUUACCUUGAGAAAAUUAGAGUGCUCACAGCAGGCAGUUGAGGUGUAAAAGCCUUUUAAUGCUUGAAUAAUGUUGCAUGGAAUAAUAGAAUAUGGCCUCGGUUCUAUUCUGUUGGUCUUAUAGAACAACAAAAAAGUUGGUAAUUGCACCAAAGUUUCUUCGUAUGUUGGUUCUGCUUUAGUUGCAGCGUUUGUGUUACCGUAGCGAUCAAAAGUUACGCGUCGCGACGUUUGUCCAACUGAGUGUUCCAUAAAAGGCAUGCGUUGUAUACGAGCAACCACCAACUGAGGCAAUGGUUAAAAGAAAUAGUCGCGGCGGCAUCAGUACUGCAUCGCUAGAGGUGAAAUUCUUAGACCGAUGCAAGACUAACUGAAGCGAAAGCGUUUGCCGAGGAUAUUUUCAUUAAUCAAGAACGAAAGUUAGAGGUUCGAAGGCGAUCAGAUACCGCCCUAGUUCUAACCAUAAACGUUGCCAACUAGCAAUUGGCCUGAAUUCUAUUUUAACAAAUUGAAUGAUUCGGCCAGCGGCUCUAGGGAAACCAAAGUCUUUGGGUUCCGGGGGAAGUAUGAUUGCAAAGUUGAAACUUAAAGGAAUUGACGGAAGGGCACCACCAGGAGUGGAGCCUGCGGCUUAAUUUGACUCAACACGGGGAAACUUACUAGAUUAGAACACAGGAAUGAUUGACAGAUUGAUAGCUCUUUCUUGAUUCUGUGAGUGGUGGUGCAUGGCCGUUCUUGAUUCGUAGAUUGAUUCGUCUGCUUAAUUGCGAUAACGAGUGAGACCUCACUUUACUAACUAGUCGCUCGGUGCAUCUUUGACGCAAAAGUCUUGCUAGUGGUGCGCGUAAAAGGCGCUAAAACGUACUUGACGUGUGUCGUUAGUUAAGAUGUCUUUGACUCGCCAGCGGACUUCUUAGAAAGAUAAACGGUGUUUUAGCCGUAAGAAACGAGGCAAUAACAGGUCUGUGAUGCCCUUAGAUACUCUAGGCCGCACGCGUGCUACAAUGGUGUGCGCAGAAAGCUUAUUCGAUACUCGUCCUUAGAGAACUACUAGUUUUGGUUAGGUUUGGCUUUACGGUUAGGCUUAGUCGGACUAGCAAGUGACUGAGGUUUACGGGUUGAGAGAAACCUUGGCUGAAAAGUCAGGGCAAUCAAAAAUUCAUGCCGUGAUUUGGGAUUGGGGUUUGCAAUUGUUGUCCAUGAACGAGGAAUUCCCAGUAAGCGCAAUUCAUCAUAUUGCGUUGAUUACGUCCCUGCCCUUUGUACACACCGCCCGUCGCUACUACCGAUUGGAAGUUUUAGUGAGGCAUUUGGACUUGCAGGACGCUGGAAGUUUCGGCUUUCGUGUUCAGCGGGGAAGUCUGUCGAACUCAAAUUUCUAGAGGAAGUAAAAGUCGUAACAAGGUUUCCGUAGGUGAACCUGCGGAAGGAUCAUUA
rnacentral:rRNA from 1 species